rnacentral:rRNA from 1 species
GACGAACGCUGGCGGCGUGCUUAACACAUGCAAGUCGAACGGAAAGGCCCUGCUUUUGUGGGGUGCUCGAGUGGCGAACGGGUGAGUAACACGUGAGUAACCUGCCCUUGACUUUGGGAUAACUUCAGGAAACUGGGGCUAAUACCGGAUAGGAGCUCCUGCUGCAUGGUGGGGGUUGGAAAGUUUCGGCGGUUGGGGAUGGACUCGCGGCUUAUCAGCUUGUUGGUGGGGUAGUGGCUUACCAAGGCUUUGACGGGUAGCCGGCCUGAGAGGGUGACCGGCCACAUGGGACUGAGAGACGGCCCAGACUCCUACGGGAGGCAGCAGUGGGGAAUAUUGCACAAUGGGCGGAAGCCUGAUGCAGCAACGCCGCGUGCGGGAUGACGGCCUUCGGGUUGUAAACCGCUUUCGCCUGUGACGAAGUGUGAGUGACGGUAAUGGGUAAAGAAGCACCGGCUAACUACGUGCCAGCCGCCGCCGUAAGAC